AUGGACGAUGUGGCGGCGGCUUCGAAGCGGCGGGACGGGCCAGGACCUCCGUCCCUCAGGCACGGCGGUGACAUUACAACCCUCGACUUCAUCAGCCGCCUUCCCGACGAGAUCCUCGGUACCAUCCUCUCCCUCCUCCCCGAUACCAAGGACGCCGGCCGGACAACCGUUCUGUCGUCGCGGUGGCGCCAUCUCUGGCGCUCCGCCCUGGUCAACCUCGUCGUCAACCACCUCCUCUCCGGGCGGGAGCAUGACCGCGUCGCCAUCGUCUCCAAGAUCCUCGACGUGCACCAUGGCCCCGCACGCUGCCUCUCCUUCCACGUAGGCGGCAUCUGCCUGCGCCGUGACUUGUGA
rnacentral:rRNA from 1 species